GAGACGCGUAGGCCGCGGCCCCCAGGCCCGGUGUUUUGACGUCGGCGGCUGCCCGCGUUCCGCGCCGAGUAACGGUCUUCGGAAUUCAGAGCCUUCGCCUUAGGGAAGGUGGGACGGUCGCCAGUUUCUCCAGCACUUUCUUCGUCCAGGGACGUCAGCCUCCCUUGCCUGCUGUCCUCAGGGACUGACAGCGGGGCCUGCUCAGAAGUUCUCGUCGGGACUCUCUACAGGCCUUUGUGAUUAAGUGCUAGGGAUAUCUCAGAAGUGCAACUUCUGCUGUACCCUGCUGCUUCAGGUCUUUCUUCCUUUUGAGAAGCCUGGCACUCUUAACUUCACAGAGGAGGGGAUUUUGAGAUGGAUUUUGAAAGCGGAGUUCACCAAGCAGAGACGUUGGGAUUCAUCACUGAAGAGGAGCUUGGGCAGGUAUAACAGAUGGCGGGGCCAAGGAUCCCAACUUGCUUUCCAGGGUGUUGGUGAGAUUCCAGUGAGACGCUGGAAGGGCAAGUUUUCAUCACCAAUCAAGGGCCUGCAGAUCCAGGACUGACACUGCUCGUGGACAUGCUUACCUCACAAAGCUG